UGAGGAAUAUUGGUCAAUGGACGAGAGUCUGAACCAGCCAAGUAGCGUGCAGGAUGACGGCCCUAUGGGUUGUAAACUGCUUUUGUUUGGGAAUAAUCGACAUUACGUGUAAUGUUUUGCAUGUACCAUUCGAAUAAGGACCGGCUAAUUCCGUGCCAGCAGCCGCGGUAAUACGGAAGGUCCAGGCGUUAUCCGGAUUUAUUGGGUUUAAAGGGAGUGUAGGCGGUUGGUUAAGCGUGUUGUGAAAUGUAGAUGCUCAACAUCUGACUUGCAGCGCGAACUGGCUGACUUGAGUACACACAACGUAGGCGGAAUUCAUGGUGUAGCGGUGAAAUGCUUAGAUAUCAUGAAGAACUCCGAUUGCGAAGGCAGCUUACGGGAGUGUUACUGACGCUUAAGCUCAAAGGUGCGGGUAUCGAACAGG
rnacentral:rRNA from 1 species